UUCAGCAGCUAGAGCAAAGACAACUACCUCCCUACGAGGUGCUAAAAUGACCUUCUUCCCUUUAAUGCUAAGGGAAUAGGUGUUCUUUCAUCCAUCAUAAACCACGCUUCUAUCAUACUUCCAAGGUU